rnacentral:rRNA from 1 species
UACGGAGGGGGCGAGCGUUAUUCGGAAUUAUUGGGCGUAAAGGGCGCGUAGGCGGCUGGGCAAGUCAAAGGUGAAAUCCCUCGGCUCAACUGAGGAACUGCCUUUGAAACUGCCUGGCUUGAGGCCGGGAGGGGGUAGCGGAAUUCCCAGUGUAGCGGUGAAAUGCGUAGAUAUUGGGAGGAACACCAGUGGCGAAGGCGGCUACCUGGACCGGCACUGACACUGAAGCACGAAAGCGUGGGGAGCAAACAGG